rnacentral:lncRNA from 1 species
CACUUUAGAAUCAUCAUUUUCCUUUACUAUACCUUCCUUAGCAGCACACACACAUCUUUGCCCAUGGUUCACACACAUAGAUUCAACUUCAUCCCAUAAACCUUUAAGUCUAUUAAAAUAGGAUGCUAUAUCAAGGGACCCUUGAGAGGUGUUGCACAGCUCUCUUUUUAAUUCAUAAAUUUUGGUCCUAUUGGCAGUACCAUAACAUGCCUGAAGUUGUGACCAUAUACUUUCAGCAGUAUCAGAAUAAUGCACGGACUCAGCAUUGCAGGAGAAAUAGAAGC